AUUGAACGCUGGCGGCAUGCCUUACACAUGCAAGUCGAACGGCAGCACGGGAGCAAUCCUGGUGGCGAGUGGCGAACGGGUGAGUAAAGUAUCGGAACGUGCCCAGUCGUGGGGGAUAACGUAGCGAAAGUUACGCUAAUACCGCAUACGAUCUAUGGAUGAAAGCGGGGGAUCGCAAGACCUCGCGCGAUUGGAGCGGCCGAUAUCAGAUUAGGUAGUUGGUGGGGGAAAGGCUCACCAAGCCGACGAUCUGUAGCUGGUCUGAGAGGACGACCAGCCACACUGGGACUGAGACACGGCCCAGACUCCUACGGGAGGCAGCAGUGGGGAAUUUUGGACAAUGGGCGAGAGCCUGAUCCAGCCAUGCCGCGUGCAGGAUGAAGGCCUUCGGGUUGUAAACUGCUUUUGUACGGAACGAAAAGGUUUGGCCUAAUAAGCUGAGCUCAUGACGGUACCGUAAGAAUAAGCACCGGCUAACUACGUGCCAGCAGCCGCCGCCG
rnacentral:rRNA from 1 species